UACGUAGGGUGCGAGCGUUAAUCGGAAUACUGAGCGUAAAGCGUGCGCAGGCGGUUUUGUAAGCCAGGUGUGAAAUCCCCGGGCUCAACCUGGGAAUGGCAUUUGGGACUGCAAGGCUGGAGUGCGGCAGAGGAGACUGGAAUUCCUGGUGUAGCAGUGAAAUGCGUAGAUAUCAGGAGGAACACCGAUGGCGAAGGCAGGUCUCUGGGCUGACACUGACGCUCAUGCACGAACGACG
rnacentral:rRNA from 1 species